UACGAAGGACCCAAGCGUUAUCCGGAUUUAUUGGGCUUAAAGGGCGCGUAGGCGGAUCUUUAAGUCGGGGGUGAAAGCCCAGGGCUCAACCCUGGAAUUGCCUUCGAUACUGGAGAUCUUGAGACCGGAAGAGGUAAGUGGAACUGCGAGUGUAGAGGUGAAAUUCGUAGAUAUUCGCAAGAACACCAGUGGCGAAGGCGGCUUACUGGUCCGGUUCUGACGCUGAGGCGCGAAAGCGUGGGGAGCAAACAGG
rnacentral:rRNA from 1 species